rnacentral:rRNA from 1 species
GAUGAACGCUGGCGGCGUGCCUAAUACAUGCAAGUCGAGCGAACAGACGAGGAGCUUGCUCCUCUGACGUUAGCGGCGGACGGGUGAGUAACACGUGGAUAACCUACCUAUAAGACUGGGAUAACUUCGGGAAACCGGAGCUAAUACCGGAUAAUAUAUUGAACCGCAUGGUUCAAUAGUGAAAGACGGUUUUGCUGUCACUUAUAGAUGGAUCCGCGCCGCAUUAGCUAGUUGGUAAGGUAACGGCUUACCAAGGCAACGAUGCGUAGCCGACCUGUGGGGGUGAUCGGCCACACUGGAACUGAGCCACGGUCCAGACUCCUACGGGAGGCAGCAGUAGGGAAUCUUCCGCAAUGGGCGAAAGCCUGACGGAGCAACGCCGCGUGAGUGAUGAAGGUCUUCGGAUCGUAAAACUCUGUUAUUAGGGAAGAACAAAUGUGUAAGUAACUAUGCACGUCUUGACGGUACCUAAUCAGAAAGCCACGGCUAACUACGUG